CUGUCACACUGUUCUGUCUCUCAGCUGUUGACCUGGAUCAACUUAUACCUGGGACAUCAGCAGGGGGCGGGGUCAGGACCAUGAUGACCACCAGGGUCUGACCAAUCAGCUGGCAGCAGGAGGGGUUUACAACUUCACGCCCUCCUCAUCACCGCACCGACUCCAUCCAGAAAUAUUCAAACGCAGAUUAUUGAUUUGACUCAAACAUGCAGCAGUUCACAUCACUGCAGCUGGAGGGCGCUGCAGAGCUCAGAACUCUCCCACCAGCCCGCUGCAGCUCCGACACCAGCGGGUUGCUGUGCCCUGAGCCUCGUCUCGCAGGCUGUGAACGAACUACCCAUCCACCUCCAGCCUGUCAGAGAGGACAGAUGAGGAGGAGCUGGACUCUGUGGCUGCUGCAAGUGUUUGAGACAAAUAUUCAAAGCCUCUGCUCAAAGGAUUAUCACGAUCACUCCAAAAAUGAUUGACAGGUCUUUUAAUACAAGACUCCGACACCUACAUGCAUGUUGGUAAUGUUUUCAGAUGCUAUUAGAGGUCUGUCUGUGUGAGUGUAAUGUUUCUCAACAAGAGUUAAACAAACUUAAAUAAAACUAAUAAUAUUUCA